rnacentral:rRNA from 1 species
GACGAACGCUGGCGGCGUGCUUAACACAUGCAAGUCGAACGGAAAGGCCCCUUUGGGGGUCCUCGAGUGGCGAACGGGUGAGUAACACGUGAGUAACCUGCCCUUGACUUCGGGAUAACUUCAGGAAACUGGGGCUAAUACCGGAUAGGAAUCCUUGCUGCAUGGUGGGGGUUGGAAAGCUUCGGCGGUUUUGGAUGGACUCGCGGCUUAUCAGCUUGUUGGUGGGGUAGUGGCUUACCAAGGCUUUGACGGGUAGCCGGCCUGAGAGGGCGACCGGCCACAUUGGGACUGAGAUACGGCCCAGACUCCUACGGGAGGCAGCAGUGGGGAAUAUUGUACAAUGGGCGGAAGCCUGAUGCAGCAACGCCGCGUGCGGGAUGACGGCCUUCGGGUUGUAAACCGCUUUCAGCAGGGGCGAAGCUUGUGGUGACGGUACCUGCAGAAGAAGCACCGGCUAACUACGUG